rnacentral:rRNA from 1 species
UACGUAGGGGGCAAGCGUUGUCCGGAAUUAUUGGGCGUAAAGAGCGUGUAGGCGGUCCGGUAAGUCGGCUGUGAAAGUCAGGGGCUCAACCCCUGAAUGCGGGUGGAUACUGCUGGGCUAGAGUCCGGAAGAGGCGAGUGGAAUUCCUGGUGUAGCGGUGAAAUGCGCAGAUAUCAGGAGGAACACCGAUGGCGAAGGCAGGUCUCUGGGCAUUAACUGACGCUGAGGAGCGAAAGCAUGGGAGCGAACAGG